AGUGAACGCUGGCGGUAGGCCUAACACAUGCAAGUCGAACGGCAGCACAGUAAGAGCUUGCUCUUACGGGUGGCGAGUGGCGGACGGGUGAGGAAUACAUCGGAAUCUACUUUUUCGUGGGGGAUAACGUAGGGAAACUUACGCUAAUACCGCAUACGACCUACGGGUGAAAGCAGGGGAUCUUCGGACCUUGCGCGAUUGAAUGAGCCGAUGUCGGAUUAGCUAGUUGGCGGGGUAAAGGCCCACCAAGGCGACGAUCCGUAGCUGGGCUGAGAGGAUGAGCGGCCACACUGGAACUGAGACACGGUCCAGACUCCUACGGGAGGCAGCAGUGGGGAAUAUUGGACAAUGGGCGCAAGCCUGAUCCAGCCAUACCGCGUGGGUGAAGAAGGCCUUCGGGUUGUAAAGCCCUUUUGUUGGGAAAGAAAAGCAGCAGGUUAAUACCCCGCUGUUCUGACGGUACCCAAAGAAUAAGCACCGGCUAACUUCGUG
rnacentral:rRNA from 1 species